rnacentral:rRNA from 1 species
GAUGAACGCUGGCGGCGUGCUUAACACAUGCAAGUCGAACGGAAAGGCCUCAGCUUGCUGGGGUGCUCGAGUGGCGAACGGGUGAGUAACACGUAGGUGAUCUGCCUUUCACUUCGGGAUAAGCUUGGGAAACUGGGUCUAAUACCGGAUAUUCACGGCACCGUGGUUGGUGUGGUGGAAAGCUUUUGCGGUGGGAGAUGAGCUUUCGGCCUAUCAGCUUGUUGGUGGGGUAAUGGCCUACCAAGGCGGCGACGGGUAGCCGGCCUGAGAGGGUGUGCGGCCACAUUGGGACUGAGAUACGGCCCAGACUCCUACGGGAGGCAGCAGUGGGGAAUUUUGCACAAUGGGCGGAAGCCUGAUGCAGCGACGCCGGGUGGGGGAUGAAGGCCUUCGGGUUGUAAACUCCUUUCGUCAGGGACGAAGUUUGUUUGACGGUACCUGGAUAAGAAGCACCGGCUAACUACGUG